AAACAAGAAGUUGGAGAAUGCGUUUCUUGUUCGUAAUUAAGGAGGUCAAAUACGCAUUAUUCAAUCCCAAAUGAACACCCAUUCUUUGAAUGAUUCAAUUAAAUAAACUUUCAACUAACUCGAUGAUGCCAUUUGAAUCUUUUUCAGUGACCCAGGUGAGAAAUUCAUCAUUUCAGUUGAAUUAAAUUAGUGGGAUCCAAACAAAUCCUUAAAUCUUCUACUGUCAUCAUCAUAUGAGAAAAAGGACCUUACUCUCCUCAUCCUCUAUAUACAUCACUCGAAGUCGUCAUAUCUAUGAGACUUGAGUUGUCAGGUAUCAUCAUCAGUGUCACUUCCACUAGAUUUGUCUGACAAGAAAUGUUUUGGUAACCUUGGGAAUGUAACACGAGUCCUUAACACAUCAGGGGUUGGUGGCGAUGACGGAGAUGAUGAGGAUCCAGCACCAGCACCAGCUUUACUUGGUUUCUUCUGUUGCAAACUCCGAGCAAUAUCUAUGCAAGCUUGAUCGACCAUUGCCAGGAAAUCUUUUACUAUAACAAAGAGCUGAAGUGGCUGGCUGUCUUUGAAACCUCCUGCUUGGUAAUACUGUGCUGUUUUCUUUACAAAUUCCAUCACCCUUGUCUGUUCUUCUUGGACUACCUUUAUCUCUCCCUCUGCUGCUGCCAAGAACUCUUUCAUUUCUGUAACAAACGCUCUUCCACCGUCAUCGGCUCCACACUGCAGCACUAGUUGCCUAGUUUCAGCAAUACGAGCUUCCAUUGAUGUGCUGAUGCUUAAUAUGGUGUCAUAGUCAAGGGUGGCUGCUUUCUUGACACUGGAGAACUCAGCACUCAAGCCACCUACAACUGGUAGCCCUAGCUGUAAGAACUCCUUUUCUUGCUCCUCUUUUGACUUGGCUUCCUCUGGAUUUAGGUUUGAACUUGAGCUUGAGCUUGAGCUUGAGUUUCUCUGACUGUUGGUUCUGGUUAAGCUGUUGUUACGGUUCAUAACACACCGUCUCCCCUCAUUCCUGACAACCUCAUGAACCACAAAGUGAAGUAGAGUGGUCUUCCCAUCACUACUUUUGUAAUCGGAGAGCUUCCUUAAAGCCGUAAGGUUAAAAGCCUUUGCAUCCCCUCUUGCAGUCCCUGCAUUAAGUCGAUUUCCUGCUUUUAGUAUAGCUUCUAGAAGCUUCAAGAACACUCCACGAUUUCGGAGCUCAUUGGAGGCAGAGUCAAGUGUUUGGAGAGAUUCCUUCAGUUGAUUUAUUUCUGAGCCAUAACUGAAUUUGAAGAGCAUUGUGUUAGCCCUAGUAAAAGCUGAGGGAACAGCCUUGAGCAGGUGGUAAAGGAAGGAUUCUGCAUCAGCUAGCCUUCCAGCAUCUCCAUCAAAUGCUAGGAUUUGAAUUUUUUCUUCUCGUGUAGGGGUGAUUCUUGUCAGUUUCUCAAGUACUUCUAUAUUCAGGCCUUUUCCAUCUUGCAGCCCCUCAAUCAACUCGUUGCGAGUGAUGCCUAAAGAGCGAAUCACAAUGGCAAUAUUCUGGGAACGUCGUUCAUCCAAAAUGAAAACUUUGGCAGCUGGAUUAGGGAUGCCAUUACCUUGAGCUGCAGCAGAGUCUUCUUUUGGUGAUUUGCGGUUUACUGCAACAUAGCCAAAGAGUGCUUCCAUCAUAUCACCAUUGUAUCUGUUGCACCAAAAAAAAAAAACAUGCCAAUCAACUUCUACUCAAUUAAGACUGUAAGACUUUUCUUUAUAUCAAUUAUUGUAAUGAAAAAUUAAAUGCUGUACUUACUGGAAUGAACCGCGCUCGAUGUUGUCCCACACCAUGGAAUGACUAGUAUUAACGUUGACCUUUUCCCAGUGCAAUGGCUUCAGUUUGACCUGAUCAUUGGUGCUUCCUGAUGCAUCUUCCCCAAUAGCAGAUAGUUCUAUGAUGUUUCCACUUGGGGUCCGUUUUGGUCCUGGUGGUGGUUUUGAUGAUCCACCUCCCUUGAGUGGUGGAGGUGGCGGUGCUGGACCUUUUUUGGCUGCCAUUGGUGGUGGUGGUGGUGGUGGUGCAUUUUUCUUGGCUGCCAUUGGUGGUGGUGGUGGCGGUGGUGGUGCAGGUCCUGCCUUGGUAGGAAUAGGAGGCGGAAGAGGUGGUGUUGCUGGUGCUUGUGGUGGACUAAUUUGUUCCUUAGCAGUAGCCAAUUUCUCUGACCCUUGUGCAUUUCCAAUGGCCUGAAAACUGUUUUCAUUCUGAGGUGAUUUAUUAGGAUCAAGCAGCCUAGCUGUUUGUUCUUCCUUAGGAUGUAUUUGAUUCUGAGAAGACGACGAUUUCCCACGAGAAUACGUCUUCCUUCCAUUGCUUGUCUUACUAAAUGCAUCCUUAUGAAAAGGUCCGCUCUUCCUCUGGCUCCCUUCAAGCUUCCGCCAAUACAGCACGUCCAAACCAUCCUCAUCUACUAUUAACCCUUUAAUGUUCCCAUCAAACCUUGUAAACUCUGUCUGAGACAACGGCUGUAACCUUCCUCCACCACCACCACCACCACCACCGCCACCUCCGCCGCCAGCAGCAGCAACUGCCCCAACAGCAUGGACCCCUCCACCACUUUCUUUCUUCCGUUUGGUUGCAUACCUUGCACAAAGAAAGAAAAGUGCCGCGGCCACCACCAACGUACUAGCAGCUGUCACCCCCACUGCCGUGUAUAUCGCCUUAUGAGACGUCGAUGGUGGUGAUGACGCCUGUCUUGAUGAAGCAUCAGGUGGAGGUGGCAGCAGUGGCGUUGGUAACGUUGGCGAAGUUGGUGGAGAAAACACAGCUACAGGUACAGGUGCUGGUGCAGGUGCAGAUACAGGUACAGGUGCUGGUGCAGGUGCAGGUGAUGGUGAGAAAGGAAAAAAUGUUUCAAUAUUUUGAGGAGAAUUGGAUUGACAAAAUGAAAGAUUGAUAAAAGAAUUAACAAGGAACAAGAACAAUAUAGAGCUAAGAAACAAAUCUCCUUUCUUUGUUUGGAAUGUCAUCUCUCUCUUUGAUCUGUACAAAAAAAAUAAAGAUUUGGGAUUUGAGUGAAGAGAGAGAAACAAGUAAGAUGGGAAAAACUAAGUUUGUUGAUUAGUUCUCAAUUUUUUUUGGGGAUUGUUUUUGUUGGUUUUGUUGUAUUAAGAUGAUAUUUGAGCUGUUACCAUGUUGGUACUUUUUUCUGCCAUCUUUUGCAGACAUUGUCAAAGUAAGCAGGUUGCUGACUAUGAGAAAUUCUUGGGUGUCAUUUAAUUUUUUUUCCUUUUAAAAAAAAUUAUUAUUGUCCGGCUUUUCUUGUUAUGAAAUUACUUUCAAUCUUUGUCAUUAUAAUAAAAGUAUUGUGUUUGUGUCU